CUUUAAAAGACUUCUAGAAAUGAAAGUUCCUUUUGAAAUAUUACUCUUUGUAAUUGUAAUAAACGUUUUCACAGCCGAAAGGCACAGAAAUAGAGUGAAAAGUCGUAAUUCACUAGAUGACCAUCAGGGACACAAUCAGCUUGUACAACGCAAGAGAUUAUCCGAGCAACAUACAUUUAAAAGAAGGAAUGGUCGAAUUCAAAAUGAGGCUGCUUUGCAAAAUAACCAACGUAGUUUAUGGAAAUGGAUUGUAAAAACUACGAAAAAAGUUACGAAGGUAGUUAGCUCUGCAGUUAAAACAGUUGUGAAUUUGUUUAUACCCAGACCACCCCCAAGGCCGAACCCCACACCACCCAGGCCAGUGCCCACGAGAAGACCACCAACAACGACAACAGUCAGAAGUGAACCUUUUUGGCCCGAAGAAUCAUAUGAAGAUGAUUCGAUAUCAAAUUCAUAUCCAGAAUAACGUAGUUCGGCCAAAAAAAAUUACAUGGUUUAAGUCUUGGCCAAUUAUAAACAAUAAAUGUAUGGAAUUGAGUCGAACCUAAAAAUACAUCCGGGAAAAUAUGAGAGAUAACCCCAUUUGUUUUAAAUAAAGCAAAACUAACAUAUAAGAAAAAUUGUGUGAUUUUCAAACCUUCAAAAUAUCAUGUUUGCCACCUAUAAUAAAUAUCGUAGCUAAAAUAUUUUGGAUGAACAUGGAGAGCAUGUACCUGUUAACUGUUUGUUACCUGUUUAAGAAUAACAUUAAUAGCUUGCCGAAUCCUAAGCAAGAGUAAAUCAUGGAUAUGUUGUGCAGAGAAGCUACCUUUCUGGGAGGUGCUGCAAUGCGAACCAGACAACCUUCGCAUAAAUAAAACUUAUUUUCAAUAUUUGAAAAGCCUGGUACUCUAAGGGUGAUACAAGAGUAAAAGUGGGUAUCCGUAAGAAGACACAAGAAUGAGCGCAAAGACUUCAUUCGCCUUGGAGAAUACACCGUUGGCUUCCCACAAAGCUACCCUUAUUGUGGUCAUUAUAUAAGUUGUCCAAUCUGCCGAACAGUUGAUCCAACCUGAACUCGAGGACUGAGUUGGGAUUGUUGUCAGCAACUAGAAGCGAGUGAUUGCCAUUGCCACAUAACACAGGCUCUUUCUACGACAUGAGGAGAGAGCUCUGUGGACGCAGGGCUGGCAAUCGCGCAGGACUCUGUCAAAGGAUUGCUGGUCGGGAGCGAACAUGCCAGUAAGACUAUCUACGGCAUUCCGAAGAUAAAAUACUCUCGUAUAAAAUUGUAUGACUGCGUAAUAGAGAUAUGUAGAUGUAGAAGAUGAUUAGAGAAUGUUCAUAAGAUAUGGCUCUUAUACGAGAACUAUUCUUCUAAUUUUCAUAAGAAUAGCUUUUACACUGAGGGACUAUACCAAGACUGGAGACAGAUCAAAGCACAUAUAGACAGACGAUCAUACAGUUUUACAGACAGACAGGCUGACAAAAACGACUCAUCAACUCUGCUUUUUUUAUUACCCAAUAUACUUUGGGCGUUCAGAAAUGUUUCCUUCUAUGAGUUACAUAAUGUAUAUCUACUAGCGGUUAUAACACUCCUUGCCUGCGGAAAAUACA